rnacentral:rRNA from 1 species
CAGUAGCCACGGGAAUACGUAGGGUGCAAGCGUUAAUCGGAAUUACUGGGCGUAAAGCGUGCGCAGGCGGUUUGUUAAGACAGAUGUGAAAUCCCCGGGCUCAACCUGGGAACUGCAUUUGUGACUGGCAAGCUAGAGUGUGGCAGAGGGGGGUGGAAUUCCGCGUGUAGCAGUGAAAUGCGUAGAUAUGCGGAGGAACACCGAUGGCGAAGGCAGCCCCCUGGGACAACACUGACGCUGAGGCACGAAAGCGUGGGGAGCAAACAGGAUUAGAUACCCGUGUAGUCCCUGUCUCUUAUAC